rnacentral:rRNA from 1 species
AUUGAACGCUGGCGGCAGGCCUAACACAUGCAAGUCGAACGAGUGGCGGACGGGUGAGUAAUGUCUGGGACACUGCCUGAUGGAGGGGGAUAACUACUGGAAACGGUAGCUAAUACCGCAUAACAUCAGAUGUUCCCAGAGGGGAUUAGCUAGUUGGUGGGGUAACGGCUACACAAGUCGACGAGCCCUAGCUGGUCUGAGAGGAUGACAGGCCACACUGGAAUGGAGACACGGUCCAGACUCCGACGGGAGGCAGCAGUGGGGAAUAUUGCACAAUGGGCGCAAGCCUGAUGCAGCCAUGCUGCGUGUAUGAAUAAGGCCUUCGGGUUGUAAAGUACUUUCAGCGGGGAGGCGUUACCCGCAGAAGAAGCACCGGCGAACUCCGUGCCAGCAGCCGCGGUAAUUC